AGAGAGAGAGAGGUCUUUGAACUGAGAGAGAACAGGAGCGAAGAACAGAGGAAACCGUGAAGGGGUUUUUAUAAACGAAAUUUAUUCUUCUAAUUUAUUAUUUUUAUAAUUUUAUUUUCACUAAAAUUAAAGGAAUAAAGAGUGGGUAAAGGAGGCCAGGGGGGCAGGCCGUAUUUAUUGAGGUUGGUGUGGACGGAAAGGAGCGUAGGGCCCACAAUCAAGUCCAGGUCAGCGCCCGCCCAGCGCAUGACGUCAGCGCAAAGUCGGCGUGGUCCGAGCAAUUGCUUGUAUUACGAGAUUGCCACUGCUGGGAUUAUUGGAGACCCGGGUCAAAUGGCGACUCGAAAGAUCGUCCUCGAUCCUAUGCUAUGUUUUUUUCUCGCACGUAUGUAAAUUUAAUCGCUGUGGGAAUGAAGCCGCUGUCCCUAGAAUGUAACGAUGGACUACAAUACUGCAUGUCCGGUGUAUAUGAUUUAUUUUGAGAGAAUUGUCUUAUAGACAGCUACCACAAGGUUUCUAUACACAAUACUCGGGGUCAUCCUUCUAUCGUAUCAGGCUUUCUUUAUUAUUAUUACAAGUUAAUACAAGUUCGUUAUUUUAUAUAGGACGAGGGCACCGUACGUAAGUCCCCAUAUAAAUAAAAUAGCAAGGUAGUGAUUAUGGCUAUUCUCGCUCGUUACAAGGAGUAUGCAAGCCCAUGGUGAUUAACGGUAACCUGCAUGUUUGUUAUUGUAAUUUUCAUAAAAAUAAUAAUAAUAAUAAUUUUAAAAAUAAUUAAUAAAAAAAUAUUAUAUAUUUAUCAAAAAAUCACUAAUGUUAUCUAUCAUUUUCAUCGAUACCACAUUCACCCUUAUGCACAUACAAGAGAGAUUCUUGUGCUUUAUACAUAUGCAAGAAGAUAUCAAUAUCUUGAAAAAGAUCAUAUUUUAAUUAAAAUAUAUAGAGAGAAUAUAUAAUGGACCCAUGCAUGGACUUGCUGCCAAAGAAUGUCAUACUCAUGGAUGUGUGAAUAUCAUAGGAAGAGAAUUCCUUUAGAAUUAUCUAAUUUAGUUAGAAGGAAUCUAUAAAUGCAUUUUUGCAAUAUGAUAUCGUAUACUUCUCAAUACAUGAUCACCUGAGCAUCCGUACUUGCCACCACAUGCAUGACAUGUUUUCCGUAGUUCAUUUGCGAAGGAGAAGGUCCAAGAUGUUGCCCUAAACAAGUGCAGGAUAAGCAGUGACACGCAUUCAGAUUGGUUGCUGGUCAACGGUAUAUGUUUUAUCAUAAGAAACAUGGUGAAAAACCAAACAAUAUACUUAUAAUAGACUAAUAAUUUUAGCAUUAAAUAUCUAGCACAUGAUUGCAUAAAGCAGAGUAUAAAAAAAUUUGAAGUCAAACCAUGCCUUCUAAGCAACAAACUACGGUCCCCUGGAAGACAGACCAACGAAUGCUAGCUUCACUUGAUCGACGAGCGACAAGUGCAAAGAUACCUAUCUAUUUGUUUGUCAUGUACAAUAACUCUCCUGGACCAGAAAUAAACUUUGGACCAACUGCACAACUUUUUCAAUUUUUACGUGACAAAUUUUUUUUCCUCUCCCAGUACGGUCACCCGGAUCAUGAGGGAUAGAAAGAAGAGCAUAGAUCUCACGUGGGUCUUACCAAUCCAACCAAUCGGAAGGCUAAGCCGCGCUUAAAGGUUUAGAAGUGUUCGACAUUGUCAUCACCUAACCUCGCGGCCUAUCCAGAAAAACUAACCAGCGAAAACAUAAAUAAACGGAUACUUCACGUGUCCGUACUUCGCCCUAGAAGAUGGCCGGCGAAUGCUGCGGCAGUCGGCACUGGGAAAGAUGGCAGGGCUAAGGAAGCAUCCCACCCUUUGCCGCGCAGCGGGUAGGAACCUGCGGUGGAAUAAAUAAAGCGAACACCAUGACGUGCUUGCUAAUGGUUCCACUCCUUCCAAAAAGGGUUCCUUUGGAGAGCUAUAUUGUAUGCUUGCCUCCGGUGCUUCCAGCCAACGCACGGUUUUGAGUAGUGUUACGGGUCCAAUCUUGGUACCAAGACUUUCCUUGGCAUAUGUGUGGGGCACGGAAGGAUUGAUGCAAUUCACGAGAAUGGUCGGUCCAAAAAGCAGGCUUGCGCCACGUAACAUCACGCCGCUCUCCCUGAGAUGGAAUGGAAUAAAAUCUGCAAGAUUAAGAAUUGGUGGUGGAUCUAAAAGCUCCAUUGGAAUUUCCCUAGGCUAUUAUAUAGAAGCCAUAUUUUAAGUUAGAUGAUUUUAUUCACAAAGGUGCACACGCGUACAUGAUCACUUGUGUAUGUUGCUUGAGUUUUUAUCUCACGUCCACCAGCUUUAUUACAAUAUGCAACUUAUCUAAACAAAUAAAUUUAUUAUUUAUUUGCAAGAAACUUGUUAUUGUUAUGAACUGGCCAUAAUCAUCCAACAUCAUGCCAAGAUAUAAUUGAUUUGCAUCCUAUUGCAACGAAUGGCAUCGAAGAGAAAUAAAUAUUGUAACCAAAAAAAAAAAAAAAAGAGAAAUGAAUAACCUUAACUGACACAUACUGAAACACAAUAGCUAGUGCUUCCACCAAUUUCAUCAAAACCAUUAAGAUACAUGACAAGAUUCAAUUUCAAUAAGUUUCGAUUUAUUAGAUGAAUAACAGACAAGAUACAUAAGUUUAUUAUGUCUACAGAUGCAUUAUAUAUAUAUAUAUAUAUUAAAGCAUGGAUACAUUAAGUUUAUUAGAUUUUGAUGAUGAGAUCAUAAUAAGAUAUAUUAUUAUAGUUUUAAAAAUAUCUAUUUUGAUUAGAGAACACCAUAGUGUUUGAAUUUUGAUUUAUAAAUAUUUUUAUAAUGUAAGUUGUGUUUAAAGAUUUUGAUUGUGAAUUCGAAUAGUAUAUUAAUGAUGUUGAACCAUCAUUUCUUUUAGAAAAAGUCAAUGGGACCUCUCCCUCUUCUCUAUACACAAUAUCAGGCGGAGCUUGCAAGGAAGGUGCACGGCGGUAACAUUAAUUGCACAUCCCUUGGAAUGAUGCAGACGGAACUAUUCAUACUAUGAUUUUGUUCCACCUAAACCUGCUGUUUUGGCCACACUCGAAAGGUCGAUGACUUUGACGGUAUUUUUAUAUAUAUAAUGGCUGCUGCGUAAACGAUCAUCGUUGGAGGAAAGACGAAAUCAGAGAGAUAAGUCGGUCGUUUUCAACGGAUGGGGUGCAUUUACCAAGAAAAAAAACGAAUGGGGUGUCACAUCAGGAUCAUUAAAGUGGUGGUUUCCACGCGCGAUAAAUUGGGUCGCGUCAAUGAUCGAAAGGGCACGGAUGUUAUUCUAUUUUUGGGUACAAAUACGGAUGUUACGUCUACGCCAGACAGGUUACGCCACGCAGCCUCAAGGCCGUAAUGGCCCCUACAGCUGGACGCGCUACCGUCCAAAGCUGAUGGCGUCUAAAACGGGAAAUUUUUGGGACCACUUCGGCUUCUCUGGGAAAAAUACAAUAAAAUAAUAUUUUUAUAUUGUACACCAAGAAAGUUCAAUAUUUUCUUAUGCUGAUGAUCUAUCUUACGAUGAGAAUCGGUGGGUCUUGGCAUGUGGUGUCAUGAUCAUUUCAUUCCAUUGAUUACAUUUUUAUCUCUUAAGAGUGGAAAUUAUCAUCCAUUAGUGAUCGUAUCAUGACUUUUCUUCAAGGGAAACAAAAUUCAAAGUACUUGCUUCGCUUGUUACCAAUAAAAAAAAAAAAACUUGCUUCUCAAAUCAACGGAUAAACCUUCUAGAGAUGACAUAAUUAUUCGGAAGAGGAUGAUCUCAAAAAAUUAUGCAAAUCCUAAAUAGUAUUUUGAAUGACAAAAAUAGCAAAUUCAAAGAUCUCAAGCUUUUGAAGUUACAUCAAUUUUUGGUACACGUAAGCAAGUUGAUCUCUUAGUCCUUUCCAAGAUAGCGGCUUUUGAUAGGCUCUAGCUUUUUUCAUCGUAUGUAUAGAAUGGCAAGUCAUUUUUUGAUAUGUACAGGGCCGACCUUGGGGCAGGUCAAACUAGGCGACCGCCCCAGGCCUCAGGCCUAGACCUUGUAUUGAUGUUCUAAUAAGGUGUAAGGAUGGCUUUCUACAAUAUUAUAACAAGAAAAAUAAUUAAAUAGAUUAAUGAUGGAUUUUAUAUACUGCUUAACGAAUAUAUCUAUAGAAAAUUAUUGUACGUAGAUUAAUUUUUCAAUGAUAAUUAACAUUUAAAGUAUGUUAAUUUUUAAUAGAGAAAGUUCCAUUUUUUCAUUUAGUCCUAGGUCUAAAAAAUAUCAGGACCGAUCCUGGAUAUAUAUAUAUAUAUAUAUAUAUGAAAUUGAUAAAGCUAUUGCAUACUGAGAGUAAUUGCAACCACAAGUUACGAUCUAAGCUAGGUUGAACACAAUUCUAAGGAACUACUUUGGAACUAAAUUGGAUGACUUCCUAUAUUGUUGCAAAUAUGUCCCAGCAAGCAUCUUGUUUGGUCUGAAUUAUAAGCACUCCAUAUGUUUUGAAAAAUAUCCCUAAAAUGUAUUUUUAGACAAGCUUCCUGGAAUACAGUACACUGACUUGUACUGACAGCUUUAAUUUCAUAGUGCCAAUGAUUUGCUUUUUUUUAUUGGACAUGUCAAUGAUUUAUUAGAUAAUAUAUUUUGGACGGUUCGGUCAACGAGUAUAUAUUGGUGUCAACAAAGCAGCUCACCUAAUCUCAUUAGACUAGAAUUUUAUGAGGAGGAGCGUCAUUAUAAAUUUUAAUUAAUAUUAGGUUAAAGUACCUAGGUUUGAUUUAGUACAACCUGCACCCGCUCCCUCUUGAUUAGAUCUCUCAACGUGAUUGUGCCAUAAUUCUACUAGGAAAAUUUAUGUUGGUGGGGGUUUAGUCACCACCAAGGUUAACAACCAGAACUGCGAAGGUGGGGCCAUCUCGUUGGCAUCCGUGGCAAUAGCGUGGUGUCACAUCUCAAGUCUUCCCUCCAUCCACCAGCGGUGGCAGUGGGAGUCAAAAUCAACGUCCAUGUGCAUGACUACUUUCUCUGCUGGCCGUCCAUCGUGGAUAACGUUUCGAACGAAUUCUUUAAGACUGCGAGGGACUGGUUGUCGAGUCGUGAUCUGCUCGCUGCCGGUAGAUAUCGUAGUCAUUGUCUUGGGGCAGUCAGGUCAAAAGACCAAAGUGGUAAAUAUAAUUUGCAGGUGAAAACAUACUGACUGGCCAAGACUUGGAAAAAAGAGUGGUCGGCACUACCUUCACAUACAAAUUUCCAAAGCACGUGAAAAGGAUAAAAAUUAAAUAGGUCAUACCUACUACAGUUAAAAAUAAUAAAAAUAAUUUAAAAAAAAAGACCCAUACCUACCAAAGACGCAUCAUUCUACUUGCAAAUUGGUUCAACUUAUUCUGAUUCAACAUUUUUACAUUCAAGUCUUCAGCCACGCCAUGUGUCGCACUCAUUUAAAUUUUGGAUUUAUUACCAAUCUUCUUGCAUCACAUAGAUAUUUUUUUUGUAAAUUCCUCGUUGAGAGCCUCUCAUUCCCAUAACUGAUCUAAUGCUCCAUUUUGUGCUCCGGAGUGUAGAUGUACAGUUGUUUGAAACAAUGCUUCAUUAAAGCAGGCUUUCACCGGAGUAGGCCUUUCUACUUGAAAAGAAUAAAAAAUUUUGAGAAACAUUAAUUGAAUUUAUGUUUUUGAUGUUUUCCUAUCUCCAGUAGACUCUGAUAGCGUAAAACACCUGCUUCAGCAUGGUAAAGUAGUAUUUUAGAUAUUAAAUAUCCAUUGGCUCGACAAGCAUCGUCAGCUAGAUCUGGAAAUGGGACUGCAAAUUUAGCUUCUCUUUGCCUGUUGACGUAACAUCACCAAGAGAAGCUAUCUAAUACAUUGUGAGUUGGUGGUUCCGAAUUGGACCACUUGUUCGGAUCCACCAAGCAUGCUAAAACUAUAUUAUUUGAUCCUUUCAUACCAACUUACUCUUGAAUUCUUCUUCAGCUGAGUGAUCCUCUGAGUAAUCCUUGAGCAAUUGCAUAGGUACUCCUAUAGGAUAUAUAUUGAAUCUGCUUCAACAGUUUGCCUGGCAAAGGUUUCUUAAAAGAAAAAUAAAAGUAGUAGAAGGAUUCUUACUAGCAAAUCAUAUACAUUCAGCAGAUAAUUGUGCCCCCAUUAUGUAAAAAUUGAUUAAAUCUUAAAGCUGAGGUGUUUGAGAUGAAGCUAUAUAUAUCUCCUUGGAUGUACAGUGAAAUGUUGGCUUAAGUUGUCAAGUGAUGCUAAUCUGAUAAGAAAUUAAUCCUUAGAACCAUCUCGGUCCAGUUUUCAUUUCCUUUACCGCAUUCUGAUUUUCAUUUUUGACUUCAGCAUAUGUCAGUUCGAACUUGAAAAUGUUUGACAUCACUAUAAAUUUUCAGCUCUUAACAUGUAAACUAUUUUAGUCGUCUCUCUCUCUCUCUNNNNNNNNNNNNNNNNNNNNUCUCUCUCUCUCUCUCUCUUCUCUCUCUCUCUCUCUCUCUCUAUAUAUAUAUAUAUAUAUAUAAACUGCCUUGAAGAUUGGUUAUAUGCAGUUGAAUUGAACGUUUUACACUUGUAUUUCUACCGUCUGUUGCGGCAGCUACAUUUCCCAUCUUUGAAAUGGUGGAACUUGCUUAAGUCCUUGAUGACCAUUUCCAUCUAAUUGAGAUAAACUUGCAAGUUAUGUGGCGACCACCACACAUCCUCAAGUGGGUAAACACUCGAAUUGGUAUCUCAUGUGGCAAAGAAACAAACCCACAACACAAGGCUAUGAGUUCUCUGUGUUCUGUAACUCUUUCCUUCAUACUCUUCUGGAUUUUGUGACCAAUAGUUCUUAUCAGCAACAUAAUUCCUCCAUCAUCCUUGCCAUUUCCUCUAAUCUAUUAGAGAUCUACAGUGUAAUAACCCGGUCUGACACAGAAUCAUGCACAUUUUCUCUGGGUUCAUGUUCUACUAGCCUCUCUAGUCCAUGCUUUGCAACCAUCAUAUUUUCCUGUAAGCUACUGGAAGAAAGAAGAGCCUUCCAAAUUGGAGCACCGGGUUCAAAGGGAAUGACACUGAAUAAAGUGUUUGCUUCUUUGAGCAUUCCGACUUGGGCCAAAACCUCAACCAUGCAGCAAUGGUGUUCAGCUUAUGGGUUGAUCUUAUAAACUUCAGCCAUGGAUACGAACAAACGGAAUGCUUCAUCUAGUAGUCCCAGUGAGCACAGGCCUUCAGAACAGGGAAAAAAUGUGUUGGAAUUUGUCAUCAGCUUGAAGAGCUCAAGGGCUCUAGAGGGCACCCAUUCUGCACGUUGGCAGAGAUCAUUGAGCCCUAGGAAGCAGAGUUCCUUUCAGUCAUCUGGUUUAAAGCAUCGAGGGCAUGUGCAAGAGUUCUACAGUUUGAGUACAUCUCGAUAAGAGAGUAUUGCUCAUGUUAAGGCCUGGGAUGAGGUCUCUCUUUGCAAUGUAGGCAUGGGCUUGGAACCCUGCGUUCAGUAAUUACGUACUCCCACAGGCAUUCAGAACAAAACAAACUGAUGCACGACCAAGUAGCUCGAUAGAACGUUGGAUCCUGUGGAAGAACUUGGGAAUGAUUCAUAGUCCUUAGCUUUAGCGAGACCUCAAAUUAACGAGCCUCAUGAGAUCUCAUGUUUCAAAACCAGCGAGCAUAACUCCAAAGUUUGCUGGAGUCGGCUUAAACUUGAGUAAACGUUGAUGAGAUAGUCCACUACAGAAACAGUGGAUUCAUAACCAUUUCUAAUUAUAUUGCAGUUCAUCUCUUCCCCACUAAUAAGAUAUCCUAAAGCAAUGCAAGCUAGAAGGGCAGUAGUACAAGUGAAUUCAUCAGCUUUAACAUGAUCUAACUGCAUAUUCCUGAAGAACUGGAGAGCUCCUGGAAACCGACCAUUCCAAGCAGUGCCCAGCAAUGACAGCAAACCAUGUACCCCGUUUACCCAAAAAAUAAAAAAAGAAAAGAAAAACAUGUGCCAAACACACUGAGAGGUGCGUCUAUAUAUUAACCAAUGAGCUGAUCGCACGUGCGUCCAACUUUAUUUCAAGUUUCAUAAUGAAAGCAUGGACCAUCUUUCCGGUUUUCAAGUCUUUAGCACGGUACAGCACUUUAAUGAACGGUACGAACCUCAAGUUCUGGCGUCCUCUGGACCCAAAGUGUCUGGGGAGCUUAAUGUGGGACGACGUUGUUGUUGUGAUCUGAUGUCCCAUGAUCAGUACAUUUGAUAUACUCAUCAAGAAGAGCAAUGUUCCAUGACUGUCUUAUUCGAAGCCAGAUCGGAAAACGUAACAUGAAAUGUAGAGCUUUCAAACCGGCAAUUGCCUGAAUGGUGCUGCCUAACGUGAAUUCAUCCCACUCUGAACCUUCAGCAAUUACUGCACGAAAUAGCUGUCAGAGAUUGCGAAUGUGGCAUGUGAUGAUGGAGUUGCUCAAUAAUCAGAGCAGUCACGUGGCUCAGUAAAGCCACUGAGUAUUGGAUACAAGUACAAUUUGGGUUUGAUUUUAUCCUCGUUCUGAUUUAGGUCACUCUUGAUCAACUGUAAUGAUUCUCUGGAUUUUUAUAAUAGAGUAAUUCUUUAUACACCAUACAUAAUAUAAAAAAAACAUAUCAUUUUAUUUAAUUAAAUUAUAUAAUCAUUAUUUUUUAAUAUAUAUUUAAUAUUUAUAAUUUUAUUUUUUAUUUAAAAUUUUAAAUGAUAAUUUUUUUUAAAAAAAAAAUAUAAAUUCUGUGACCAUAUUAUGAUAUCUUACAGUCAAAUUAUGACUUCUUGCACACCAGAAAUUAUAAUUUAGCCAUACGAUAUCAUAAGAAAGAUAGAAGAAUUUUUAUCUUUUAAAAAUUUUAUUAAUUUACAAUGACGAAAAUAUUCUUCUCUCUUUAUGAUUUUUUAAAAAAAAUUAUGAUAUUUUAUGUACAGGAAGUAAUAAUUUGACUGUAAAAAAUUGUAAUAUGAUCACAGAAUAUCAUAAUUUUUUCAUAAGAAGAGAAAUAUUUUCAUCAUUCAAAAUUUCAAAUGAAAAAGCAGAACUACAGAUAUUAAAUACGAAAAACGGUGACUAUGUCACCUAAUCAAAUAAGAUGAUAUAUUUUUUUAUAUUAUAUAUAAUAUAUAAUUUUUUUUAUAAAAAUAAAUUUAUUUUAUUUUAUUUAAAUAAUUAUAAAAAUUUAAAUUUAAAAUUUUAUAAAAUUUUGGAUCCAAACGUCCUAACAGAUUUUUGGCAUGGCAAAAAUCAUGCCUCAGGUACGUCUCAGAACUGGAUUGGGCCGGCCAGUGCCGAUAUACACGCACGCUUCUUUUACUGGACCCUUCAGGUAUGUAAAAACGGUGGUUUUGGUUUUUCUCCCCUCAUUUCCUCUUGUCUUGUGUUCGGCGCGUCGAUCUCGUCAGUCCCGGUCGCCCGCUUCUCAUCGCCUUCAACGGUAGGAAGAGAGGUGAGCGGAGGACUCCUCCCGGAGGGGGCCGGGCUCGGCACCGGUUGGUGGACAGAACCUUCUUCCGCACCACUGGUACGUCUCGCAUCCAUGAGCCCGUUCUGGACUCGCCUCGUUUUUUUCUAGUUAUUAACCAGCCGGGAUUCCUUUGUUUUCGUUUUCUAGGUUAGCUAUAGCUCUCUUCCACUCUUUGUUUCUUAGUUUUGUUGGUCAUUUCAUUCUAUACUUUACAACGCACAUUUCCUGUUUGAAUUAAUGCGUGAAAGGUUCUCAUAGCUUCGUCCGCAUCAAAAUUGGUGGCUUUUGAUUUGGGUGCUAUGUUUUGCUUCUAUUAACCGUUUACGGUCAACACAACAAGUCCACCAAAGUUUUGGAGAAGAUUAGCCUGAAGUCAAUAACUUCCGGAGCCCAUUUAUAGUAACCGACCUCUCUAUCUAACCUCGGGAGUUUCAGAGGGGUCUCAGCUAAAGAAUGAAUUGUUAUAAAGAAGGCAUCUCUUUGCUAUUGGCUUGCAUGAUAUGACUACUAAGCUUAGUUGACUGAAUCAGUGACUAUGUAUCUGUCCACUGAAUGCUACUUCCUUUUUUUAUGAAAACAUUCAGGUUUCAAGCUAUAUCUGCAUUGUGAUUUCUGGAACCCUUCUUUGUUGCUGAAUAGAGAGAGUCACCAAAUCAUGGAUGGUAUGCGUUAUUUUUGACUUUCUCUUGGUUUUCUUGUUCCCUCUUCUUAUUCAUGCUAGUGUGAUGAUUCACAAAAUAUCCUUUAAAAUGGCUUCAAAAACACCUCGUUGGAUUUAUGUUUUGUAUAAUUGGGCUUCUCAAGAUUGGUCAUUAGUGGAAAGCCAGUGGUCAAGAUCAGUAUAUCACUCAAUUCCUUGACAGAUUUCAUUGGCAUUUAUAUGUGUGUGUUUUUCUCCGAUUGCAAAUUCUGUGUUAGCUCGUUAAUGCAUGAAUAAAGGAUUUGAUGCUGUUUUAAUCUGAAUUUGUGUUUGUGUCAUGUUUUAGUUGAUUCACAGCCAACCAUGGAGGAAACCAUCCUAGUCGGCGAUGACCUUAUGCUAGGGCCACCUUCACCUGUCAUACCCCCAGAGAUUGCAUCUCAUGUUCUUGAAGGUGUUGAUUUAUGUGAUGGAAUACUGAGGAAUCUAUUCUUGUGUAAGUGGCAUUAAGUGAAAUAAAAAAAGAUGCUUUGAUGUAAAUCAUUAUAGUGGAAUAGAUUGUUGAGGCCAUUGCUCUCUCAAAACAAUAUACAAGGCCAUUUUUUCAUUUUAAAAUGGAAUGAGGAAAUUGACUUUUUGGCAUGCUCUAGGCCUGCAAAUCAAUGAUAUCGAGCCAUUUUGCCAAGAUGAGAUUGUUUUGUAUAGACAAUGUGCUGAGAAACGGGUUAGCAAUAUUAACUUAUUAGCCUUGUAAUAUAUGUCAUUGUAUGUGGCCUACUUAUUUUGAUUGUUACCUUGACAUUCUCUUUGGGUCUCUGAAAUUCACUUACAGGAUAAGGAGCUUAGACAACGACUUCAAGAUAGUGAGCAUAAGUUGGGAUUGUGUAUGCCUUUGGAACAAGCAAAAGAAAGAGCUGCACAACUUCAAUCCGAAGUUGCAUUGUUGGAGAGGUGCAACCUUUAGACCCUUAUUUGGUUGUUGGAAAUCUGGUGUAACCAAUGAACCAAUGGAACUAUAAAGAAUCUUGUUAGUUGUUCAUAUUCUAAAAUUUUGUAAUGCCUGGAUCCCUUUAAAUGGAGCAUUUGUAUUCAUCAGUGCUGCACUGCUGCAUAUGUAACUGUAAAGCAGCUUUUGUACUUGGGAAAAGGAUGAUGGAGGGGCAUGCUAGUUUCCCAUUUGGAAUUUGUUUCUUAUAGUAAGAGGUGGAUCUGAUUUAGACAACAUGGAUGUUGAAGCAUGUUUUUCUUAUAUUGUGUCGCAUUGCCACUGGGUGUAAUGAUUGGCUGAAUAUAGAGAGAAAAGGAUACAGGCUUGCAUGCUUAUUUGUCACAUCUAUUCUUUUAUUUUUUAUCAUAAUUUUUCAUCAAAGUGCAGCAUAACAGCAUUCUUCAUACAUAAAGGAUGAUCUAUUUUUUAAACAAAAUUCUGUUCUGCAACCUAUUCACUGUAAAUGUUCAUUCAUUGAUAAAUUAGUUCGUUAAAGUAACAACUAAGAAUGUCAGCAAGAUAAAUCAAAAAAUAUAUAUAUAUAGUGAGUCAUAUUAUCAUUUAUUUGAUUACAAAGUCAUUCCUUUUUAUGUUCCGUGUUCUUAAUCCUUCAGGCGCAUGAUUCUUGCAAGUGGAAUUGAAGGCAUGGAGGGAUUUCGCCAGCGCUGGAGCUUACAUGGACGCCUUGAGGAUAAUAAGUACUCUUUCAUCAAGUUUUCUUCUUUCAUUUAGAAAUAGAAAAAAGAUAAGUUCGAACUAAAAUCAAAUUGUUCCUACGGUUAAAAUCAAACUACUACUCAGUCAUAAAUGCAAAUAUUCUUCGAGUCUUGCGAUGACAAGCUCUGGUGUUCAUAUGUGCUUUAAGCUGCAUGGCUUGCAUGUGUGCCUUAAUUCAUAUGUGCAUUGAUGUGAUCCUAGAUGUAGUUCCCUGCAUCUCAAGUUUGUGCUAAUCGAGUAACGCCUGCUGCAUGUUCAUAUUCAAACUGAAGCCUUGUUGAUCUUUUCAUCUCUAAUUUCUGCUCUAUCUUUUCUCGUGCAGAAAAAGACUAGAAGCUUUGAACCAGGGAAUUGCAAAGAGGAAAAUUGAAGCGCCCCAAGGAGAGUCUAAAGGAGAUCCAGUUAAAAAGAAGUGGUUUUUUUGGUAACUUUGUUAGGGAAAAACCUAUGCAGCGGUGAAGCAUGGUAUUUUUCUCUCUUGUGUUCAGAAAACGCAUAAGUAGUUCUUUCCCCGCCUAAACACAAAAAGAAUUAUCAUGAACUUAAAUGAUUCCUGUGACCAUUCAUGUCCCUUCAUAUUUAUGUCCCACCUAAAACAAAGAAGUGGUAGCAAUGAGAAACCAGCAUUGAAGUAUUUAAUGAUAAAUUGCGCGUGCACAUCCAGUAAUACACCAAACAUGUAUCUUGAAGAAGGAAGCAUAAUUGCAGAUACUCAGCCCUUGCAUUAGCCAACAUUGAUUUUAGUGGAUGAAUAGUGUCAAACUCCCUUCGGUAUGUCAGACAUGGGCAUUGCAAGAUCCAUGUCCUUCAUCCACCACCAUCAAGCUAUGUUAACCAUCCAUUUAUAAUGGGAAUAAAAUCUCAGAUUAAAAAGACAAAUUUUCUCUGCAAGUAUUUUGCCUCUGAAACUCUAUGGCUUUUAAAGAGGAUGAAAAGAAAUUCCAAUGGCCACUAUAAUUUGCAAGAGUAAUGCCCGAUGUAAAUGUCCUUGUAGUCAAAGAACUAUGGAUGGAUGCAAAGCUCCAUAUUGCGCAAAAAAAUCAUAGAUGACAUAUGUAUCUGAUGUUAGAGUCCCACUUAGAAUCAGCAGGUUUUUCUUUGCCUCUCUAUAAGCUAACGGCCCUUCGGUGCUGCCUUGGCCCGUUAGAUAGAUGCCUUCCACCACGCCGUCCAGCGAGGCCGACCUCGAAGACCCCCUCCCAUUCUGGCAUAGCAAUCUCGAGUGGCGCUAUGUCCCUGGCUCGCCCUUCAAAUUCUUGUUGUAGGGUGCGAAGGUGAGGCGUCGUUGGUUCUGGAUCCAGGUCACUACUACUGUUAGGCCACCUAGUCUAGGUGGUGGGGAUGCUAUUUAUGCAUGCAGCUGCCUGGCUUUCUCUAGUAGAGAUGGCAACAACGGAUUGAAGCUUAAACAUCCAGCCCUCUGCUAUACCAAAAAAGGGGGAGAAAAAAUAGCUCGUAGUAAAACAGCAGGGAAAAUAUAUACAUGACCCACCAUUACUGCCCCCAUAAUAGAUGGUCAUAGCAUUCCAAUGAUUUUAACUUGCAUGGAUCUGCCAUAUACCAACUGACGACGCCUACCGCUUGAGCCUAUGACCCACCACACUGUAGAUGAAUAUGUUACUUGAAACAUCCCCCCCUUGUCCGCUUCGGUGCUAGGACACUAUUCCGAAAGACAAUUUAGAGCUUACUGGAAAUGGACCAUAGAUUGGCUUAGCAUUGUUGGUGCAAAAAUCCGCCUGCGCCAGAGAAGUUNNNNNNNNNNNNNNNNNNNNNNNNNNNNNNNNNNNNNNNNNNNNNNNNNNNNNNNNNNNNNNNNNNNNNNNNNNNNNNNNNNNNNNNNNNNNNNNNNNNNNNNNNNNNNNNNNNNNNNNNNNNNNNNNNNNNNNNNNNNNNNNNNNNNNNNNNNNNNNNNNNNNNNNNNNNNNNNNNNNNNNNNNNNNNNNNNNNNNNNNNNNNNNNNNNNNNNNNNNNNNNNNNNNNNNNNNNNNNNNNNNNNNNNNNNNNNNNNNNNNNNNNNNNNAGGAGUCCAGACGAAGUCUGUCUGCAGCCGUUGGAGUCGAGGACGAAUCCCGGCUCUCGUAGGAGUCCGAGCGGAGUCAACUUGAGGUCGAAGUUGUCGGCGGAGUCCGGCUUCCGUAGGAGUCCGGACGAAGUCCGUCUGUAGUCGUUGGAGUCGAGGGCAAAGUUCGGCUCCCGUAGGAGCCCAGGUGAAGUUUUUCUGGAGCUGAUUCUGCUGAGGACUUCGACUGUGGGUAUCUCAUAUCCAACACUGCAUAUUAAAGUACUGUGCAGAGCCUUUUCCAUAUUUGAGAAUUGCCAUUCCAAGUAUUUGAUUUAUUGGUCGCAAAUCCUUCGUCUCAAAGUCCCGGGGCGGGCAGCUGAGCUUUUAGUAUGGUAACGACAUCCUUGCCAGUUGUAGCAGCCAACAUAUUGCCAGCUGUUGACACCACAUCAAUCAAUUAUGAUAUAUAUAAAAGCAGGAUAGUCUUUAUGAAAUCUUUCAAAUGUCAAACUUUUUUCUCCCCAAAAGUUAGACAUUUUUAAUUGUUAACAUAUAUUAUUUUUGAAAAAAAAAAUUUAUAAAAAAUUGAUAUUUUAGAGAAAUAGAAAUUUAUCAAAAUUUAACAGGAUAGUCUACAUAAAAUCUUACCAAGUGUCAACUUCUCAUAAACUUUUUUCCCUCAAAAAAUUAGACAUUUCUAAUUAUCAACGUGUGUUAUUUUUGGAGGAAAAAAUUCAUAAAAAAUUGAUGCGUUGGAGAAAUGAAAAUUUGCCAAUUGACUACACAUAUCACCAUGUGUAUUCAAUCCACAACUAACUAAUCAUUAAUUAUCUUAUGUAAUUUCUAAGAUUAUUAUUAUAUUAUAAUUAUAAUAUAUAUAUAUAUAUAUAUAUAUUUAUAAAGUUAGAUUUUAAUAUAAAAUAAAUAUGUAGAUUGAAUGCAAUAAUUUUACUUGACUGUUAUACUUAAGCGAAUCGACUGGCUAUUUUUUAAGCUAUAAAAUUUUUAAUUGUUAUUUUUUUUAAUUGCUAAGGUGUGCAAUUUUUGGAGGAAAAAAACUUCAUGAGAAUUUAAAAAACUAACACACAUCACCAUUACACAAUACCUAAAGAUAAAUGAGAAUUUAAAAAAUUUUAGCAUGGCCAAUUAUGAUAUAUAUAAAAACAGGAUAGUUUGCAUCAAAUCUUACCAAGUGUCAACUUCUCAUUAACUUUUUUUCCUCCAAAAGUUAGAUAUUUCUAAUUGUUAAAAUGUGUUAUUUUUGAAGGAAAAAACUUCACAAAAAAUUGACGCUUUAGAGAAAUAGAAAUUUGCCAAAAUUUAACAGGAUAGUGUGCAAAAUCUUGCCAAGUGUCAACUUCUCAUGAACUUUUUCCCCUCCAAAAAUUAGACAUUUCUAAUUGUUAACGUGUGUAUUUUUGGAGGAAAAAAUUCAUGAAAAAUUGAUGCUUUGGAGAAAUGGAAAUUUGCCAAUUGACUACACACAUCAUCAUGUAUAUUCAAUCCACAACUAACUAAUCAUUAAUUAUCUUAUGUAAUUUCUAAGAUUAUUGUUAUAUUAUAAUUACAAUAUAUAUGUAUAAAUAUAUUUAUAAUAGUUAGAUUUUUUUUAACAUAAAAUAAAUAUAUAGAUUGAAUGCAAUAAUUUUACUUGACUGUUAUAUUUAAGCAAAUUGACUGGCUGUUUUUUAAGCUGUAAUAUUUUUAAUUGUUAUUUUUUUGAAUUGUUAAGGUGUGCAAUUUUUGGAGGGAAAGAACUUCAUGAAAAUUUAAAAAACUAACACACGUCACCAUUACACAAUACCCAAAGAUAAAUGAGAAUUUAAAAAACUUCAGCAUGAUCUAUUGACUACACACGCCCCCAUUACACAAAUCAUCAUGUACAUUCAAUCCACAACUAAUUACUUAUUAAUUAUCUUAUAUAAUUUCCAAAGCUAUUGCUGACAUCUAUGUAUUUAUUUAAAUCCAUAUGUAGGACUUAGUAUAUAAAGGCAUAAUCUAAAUCCUCUUUCUUAGUUGCUUUCUUUCUUGAUUGCUGAAACAAUCAUUUUUUUUCUUAUACCGAGUAAUAGGUAGCUUAUUUAUUUUAUAAAUGAUAUUUUAUAUAUUCUAUUAUCUUUAUGCUCUUCUCUUUAUAUUGACAUUCAUUCUUACCAACAAUAUAAUUUUUUUUUGAUAGAACAUGGCUAGGAGGAUUGAUUUUGUUGAUGAAAUCAAUACCACCAAGAAUGAAUGGAAGAUCAGGGUUCGUAUCAUUAGGGUGUGGACCAUCCCUAUUUAUUCAAGACCUGAUGAACAAGCAACGAUUGAAAUGGUGCUCCUAGAUGAAUGGGUAAAGCAUUAGCUUGAAUGAAAUAAUUUAUUUAUUUAUUUAUUUGUCCAUAUGUCUUAAACAACAUUGUUUGAAUGCAAAGUGGGAGGAUUCAAGCGACUAUCAAAUGCUCAUUGAUAAGUAGAUUUAAGAAUGUGCUUCAUUAAGGAAUUGCAUAUAUCAUGUCUAAUUUUAUGAUUAGCAAUGAUAGUAGUAAUUAUAGAAGCACUAGACAUAGAUUCAGGUUGAAUUUCAUGAACAAGACAAAUGUGACUAAAUGUUCAGAUGCAAAGAUUCCAAAAGAGGGAUUUGCAUUUGUGCCUUUUGUUGAGAUUGCCAUCAAACAAUGAGACUUUCUUGAUUGGUAAGUGUGAACAUAAUGCAUUUGAAAUAAAGUAAUUGUUUUAUGCAUUCCAUAUAUAGAUUUGUAUUCAUAAUUUUUCACAUAUUUUAACUUUUUUAUUGGUGCGUUAAUAGAUGUCAUUGGACGUGUUGUUCAAAAGGACAACACGAUCGAAAAGGUUAUUAUGGAAAGAAAACUAAACAAAUAGAUAUCCUUUUGGAAGAGUUGGAGUAAGUUGCAGAAUGUGAAUUAUUAUUUUUGAUUAUUUUUAAAAAUUCAUAAUUUAUGAUAUAGAUUUUAAUAUAAAUUUUUUAACAUGUAGACAGAAUAUACUUAUUUGUACCUUUUGGGAUCACUUAAUUGAUUAUAUACAAUCAUUUUUAGAUGGAGAAAGGAUAAAACCUUUCAUUGUGGUUGUUCAAAUGGGGAGGAUAAAAAAACUUAAUGGUAAUCUCUAUGCAUAUACUUAGAUAUUUAUUCUGUGUAAUAAUUUUUUUGGAUCAUUGACAUAGUUUGAUAUACACAGAUGUGGUAAGAGUUUCAAAUGCAUACUUUGUUAUGAAUGUGAUGAUCAAUGCUGACCUACAGGCAAUAUAUGGAGCACUCGAUGGUUCUAUCGUAGUCAAGCCUCUAUCGAUUGUGGUUGUUGCUAGCAGGGACUCUCCCCUGCUCUAGUAAAGAAAGGGGAAACGAGUCCCCUAUUCCAUCUAAACAAACGGAAAAAAGAAUAGAGGAAGAAAAAAAAAGAGAGAAAAAAAAAGAAGAAGAAAGAGUUUCUCUCUCUUCUUUGAGCUUGCAUCUCUAUUUUCUCUCUCUAAUUUCUCUCUCUAUUUUUUUCUAUAAUAUUUUCUCUCUCUAAAAUUAUUUCUCUCUCUAUGAGGUUCUCUCUCUAAGAUUAGUCCAAUUAAAGUCUUUCUUUCAAUGAUUUUGAUUGAGCUUAGUGAAUGAUCUUGAUUCAUAUCAUCGGACAACAUACCGGCACCUAUCUUGGCCAAACUCAAAUACCAUUAUAUUUGAUUAUUUAUGAUUUUUAUUGAAUAAUUUAUAAAUUAAUUUAAUCAUAAUUUGAUUAAAUUAUCUUGAUCAGAUCGAUCGGGAUGUCAAACAGUAUUAUCUGAUCGAUCAUAUUCCACUUUGUUAAUUUCUUCUACGAUAUUCUCUCUCUAUGUGUUUUAUGAAUCCAAUGAACUUGACCUAUUGCUUUGAAUCUGAGUUAAUUCUAAUUGGAGGUUUUCAAUCGGUCUAUUAGUCAGACAAUAUACUUACACCAUCCGAGCCUUUGUCAAGCAUCACAAGAUUUGGCCCAUGUUGAUCUCUUAUAUUUUAAGUCCCUGAUUAGAUGAAACUACUUAAUCAAAUUGAUCCCAGACUGUCAAUUGAUGUAUCGACUUUCACUUUGACUUUCAUUGGACACUAACAAUAUUGAUCACCAUUGAUCUCUAUUGAACCAUUUAUUUUCUAUUUUAAUAAUGAUCAAAUAGAUUAUCUUGAUUGAACCGACUAGGAUGUUGGAUACUACCACUUUUGUCAGCCUUAUGAGAGUAUCGGAACUUAGGAUUUUUUUUUUGUUGUGACUUAAAACUGAUAGAAGAAUAUAUUUUGAAUAAUAAAUUUUGAAGGAUGUUCUCAAGAUUAAUUGAAUCUGUUUAUUUAAUGUUCUACAGAAAUACAUAAUAAAUUAUUUUUUUGAGAUAUUUUAUAAUUUAUUUUGAAAGUAAAUAGUUAGUCUUUAAAAUUAUGUAUGAUUUAUGAAAUUAUAUUUUGAAUAGAAAGUGAUUUCUGAAAUAUUAUAAUUUAUUAAUUUAUUAUAAUAUAUAUUAAAUAAAAUUAUGAUAUAUAUUAUUUUGCAAAUGUACUUUGAUAUGCAUCGGAUUUGAGCAAACUAAUUAUGUUUUGGACCCAGCCAACGGAGGUUAUAUAUUGAUUUUUGGACCAUGCUAAUUAGAGUUGUGCAUUAAUUUUUGGAAGGUACCAAUGGAAAUUAUGCAUUGAUUUUUGGAUUCUAUCAACAGAGGUUGUAUAUUGGCAUUCUGAUUGAGCUCACUAUUUCUGUUGGCACUCUGAUUGAGCUCACUAUUUCUGUUCUGACUCUACCAUAGGAAUAAAUAUGAUCGUAAUUAAGACUGUUAAGUUAUAUAUGUUUUAUUUCGAAUUGAAUUUAUAGUUAUAUAUGUAUAUGAGUAUUUAAAAAAAUUUGAUUUGCAUUAAUUAAGAUGAAAUAAAUAUAUUCUUAUAUCUAUGAUAUUUAUCUUUGAACAUCAUAUUUUAUGAGUACAUCUAAAAUAUCUAGUUGAGAUAUUCAUAACUUACUGGGUUAUUGAGCUCAUUACCUCUCCUUUCUUUUUAGAUUCAGAUUUUUAAUUGUGGAUAUGAGUACUGCUUUGAAAGUAGGUUAAAAGCGAAAGUUGAUAAUAUAGAUUUAUUAUUAUAUUUUUUAUAAAAUUAUUAUUUGAGAUGUAAUUGACGUAAGAUCUUUUAAAUAUUAUUGAAAUUUUAUAAGAGAUUAAAGUUAAUUUUAAUUAAUUAAAUUUUAGAUAUAAUUUAUUAUCAAUUCUGCUGUAAUGUAUUGAUAUCGUAUUUAGAAUAACUCGUAUGCUUGUAGAGAAGAGUUUUCUAUGAGUAUGUGAUGGUUGCCAUCUUCUCUAGACUCACGAUCUCGGAUCGGAGCUGUGAUAAUUAUGAUAUAGCAUGAGGCAUAGAAAUUACUAGAAUACGGAGAGUGGGGAGUGGUUGGCUUUAGCUAUUGGAACUGUCAAAGAAAUAAAAGUUAUGCAUGGACAAAUGUCGGCACUAGAAGAGUAUUGUAUAAAUAUUAUUGUAAUCCUGGAAAAAGACCUCUGACCAAUCAAACACAUUGUUUCAUUUAUCUUUAUUUAUCUUUGCAUUUACUUUUAUUUAUUUUUCUUUAUUUUUUUGAUGGAAAAUUUUCUUUAUUUAUCUUGCUUAAUGGUAUCACGGUAAUGCAAGUCUUUAAAGUUCAAAAUAUUAGAAUCCAUGCUACCAUCUUUAUCCUCUUUCUGGUUUUAGAUAUUGGUGGCAUGCCCACACAUUUGCAUUAUAUGUAUGCAACAUUCAACUCAACAAACAUCACAAUUUAAAUGGUUUCUCUUCUUAGCAAUGAUAUGCUUGAUAUGAAAAACUAUAACACAUACACAUGCACAUGCACAUGCAUGCGCGUGCAUGCAUAUGCGUAUGCGCAUGUGAAGAAAAUAAUUGUCAUAUAUGGAAUAGAAUUUUCCGUGUAACCUAUGGAGAUACGUAGGUUUGCUUAAGGAAAUUUUUCUGUAUUUAUUUUUGAAGGUAGGUAUGGCAAUUUUAGCUGAUCCAUCGAAUAUCCGAUUUGAUCUAAGCUGAAUGGGAUGGGUUUUACUUGAUUUGUUUAAAAUCUAGGACAAGUAUGGAUUUUAGAUAUAAUAUUUGAAACGAGUGCAGAUCGAGUAGGGAUAAUAAUAUGCCCCACCCAAAUUCAAUCCUAUAAAAUCUUAAUCUAAAUCCUUCUUUUUACUUUUAAAAUUAUAAUUAUUUUAUAAUAUUUAUAUGAUGAAUUCUUUAUCUGACUUGAUUCGACCCAACCUGACUUGUCUUAUUUACCUAAUCCGAUCCAACCUAUACCACUGCCGGACCCAAUCUGACCCGAGACGGAUAGGGAGUAGGUAUGGAUACAGGAUUUUUAGUUACAGGAUGGAUAUAAAUAUUGGCCAAUCCAACCUAACUCAUAUUUGACCUAUUGCCGUCCCUACUUAAAAGUUCCUUAGGAUCAUUUCUAUAGAAUUUCCUUUUCUUUUUAUUUCUGUUUUGAAAUGUUCUGCCUUUCUAGUUUGCUUGUUAGCAUGCAAGCAACUCUUGUAACCAUCUUAACGACAUGGCAACUAGAAUGGUCAGAUAUCUCAUCUGUUACGUUUUGCGGUUGGAAAGGUGAUUACUAAUUACAUUUUAGUGAUUUAGAACAUGAAACCAAAAAGGAUUAGUCAAGAACUUAUUUUGACAAUAAGGCGUGCGCAGAUACACCAACAAUUUCUACAGAGUCCAGGUAUGACCAUUAAUUAUAUUUACCAACUUCACAUAGAGAAAACCAUCUUAUCGAAUCCUUUAAUUCAUAAAUGAUUUCCGUUGUCCCAAUGCUAGAAAGCAAUAAAAAUAAAAUGAAUGAUAUGGUGUGAUACUAGGUUACUCUUGCCAGUAUGAUGAAUUGGGUAUAGAUGCUUACAAUUAAAUUUCAUUUUUGAACAAAAAUUCAUUUUUUGAUUUAUUUCAUUUUAUUCAGAAAAGGACACACACGCACGCACGCACGCACUACCUACACCAUAACUUUAAAAUAGAUCUAUUCACAUUAAUAAUCAGUCAUAUCUAGUUAGGGGUACUAUCAGGUCAGAUCCAGGUUUUAGUAAACCCAGACCUAGGCCAAUUGUGUAGGUUCGGUAUAUUUUUUGGUACCCCAGCCUUAUCUAAUACAUUCUGAGUUUGGGUCGAUGUGGAUACGGCGUAGGCUCUCGCCGACCAUCAAAAAAAAAAUAUCUUGAAAAUCAAGUGAAACAGAGAGUCUUACCCAUAAAAUAUCCAGUUACAUUCUUCAAAAAUUAAAUAUGGAACAACAAGUACUUUAGUGUUAACCAUAUAACAGUGGUUGACGACAAAUUAAAAAGACACUUUGUUUAGAGUCAAAGAAACCUUGCAUGACAUAUUAAAAAGAGAUAAAUAAAAAAGAAGCAUUUAAAAUUGUCUAGAUCUCUGACCAGAAUGGUUUGGCAGAUCUACAACUAGAAACAGUAUUUGCUAACAUAAUGGUGGCAACAACAUAAUAUAGAUUGAUCCAAGAUCUAGUUCAAACCCUAACAACUACAGGUGCAUAAGAAAUGGAAUGAAUCAAUCUUUCUAAUAAACAUAUCCCAACGGCAACUAAAAAUAUGAAAUUCAAAUGAAUUGAAUAGGAAAUGAUACUCCAUCCAAAAGGGACCCAUGUAAACAUGUCAAAAUAAGUAAGCUGAAAAUAUUUCUAGGUUUUGCCAGCAUUGCUUUUGUGACUGUUUAUAGAUGCCAGGUGAUGCUUCACGAUGCCCAUUCACGACACUCCACCGACACUAUACAAUUUCACAGUCCAAAAAUCAGAUUGUGGUAACUUUCUGAAGAUCCCGCAAUAGGCCUUCCCUAAAGGAGUUUGUGUAGUCAACAAAACAGACAAGUAGCUAAGAGAUUAUAUCAUAAUAACUGCGAAAUGUUCACAAUCAUUCAUAGCACACUCCAAACACAAAAGAUAAUAUAGAUGUGGAACGAGUAGUGGUUCAUCAGGUUACAGGAAACAGUAGACAUAAGUUACAGUCAUGCAGCAGCAGUAGAAGCAGCAGCUGCUGCUGCAGGAGCAGUAGAAGCAGCAGCUGCUGCUGCAGGAGCAGUCUCCUUGGUUUCUGGUUCUGCCUCCCAGAAAGAAGUUUUCUUUCCUGUCUUUGAAACAGUCUGUAGAACAGCAUCAGGGGUUACAUUGCCUUUCACGGUUACCUUCUGCUCCUUCAGGUCCACAUCAAAGGAUUCAACACCUGGAGAAAAAUGACAAAAAGGCAGGUACCUUCAACAAACACGUUCUAGCAGACAUGUUUUAAGCCACAUCAUAUAAUGGGUCAGAAAAGUUGGUAGAGAUAAAAGAUAAAAUUUUUUCCUAUACUUCAGAUGGCUUUUGACAUUACCAUUCAAAAACAAGUAUCUUACAGAAGUGAAAUUUGUGAAAAUCACAGCAACAGGAAAAGAAAUGUGUAGAGUAACAACCUUCCAUUUUGCCAAGGACCCUCUUGACAGCUCCAACACAGCCUUGACAGGACAUGCCAACUCUAAGGACCACAGUCUACGUAAAGAAGUAAACCAAAAAGAAAAUAAGUCAUUAAGACAUCAGACAAAAAACAGUGAAAAGAGCACUUGAGGUUUAAAAGAGAUACAGCAGAUCCUUAAAUCAAAAUGUUUUCUCAACAUAAACAAACCAGAUUGUUUCUGCUGCUGGCAUCUCCAACCUUCAUGCAUUUUUAAACAUGUAUUGGAAACUCAUUAAAAAAAAGAGAGAGACAGAUAAUAGAAGUCACAGUCGACCGAAGGCCAAAUGCAGUUAUGUCCCAAUCAUUAUCAAAAUAACAAGCUCAACUUUGGCCAGUGCGCACAGGAGAAAUGAGCCACUGAAAAAUGUAUGGUGUAGAUGCUAAUGGCAUAACAAAAACAGGGAAGGCUUUGGUACGAAGAAACCCAGUGCUUCAUAAAUAUUAGAAAGCAGGAGUGGCAGGGCCAAACAAACCAAAAAGGGAAAAAAAGGGUAAAAUAUUAUUGGAUAAAGCUUGCCACUAGUAGCAACUUGUAUUAUCUAAUCCUUGAGAGGAACAAUAAACAAAGGCAUUGUUAAAUACAGUUAAUAUUAAAUAAAUAUUUUCUCUUUCAAAAGAAGAUCCAAUCAACUGUUGAAGUGCGGGAGGAAGUUGAUGACCCCUGCCUUCAUUCUUUAUUGCAAAUGCACUAUAAUGUGAUCUUUCCCAUAGCAUCCUUGACUUCACAGUUCUUUCUUUCACAAAUUCCCUAGUGAAGUUCUUUAGCUUCUAUUGCAUGACACCAGUUAUGAGAUUCUGAUUGUUUCAAGCAGUAAUAAUUACCAAAAUUUUGCUUCUAAUUACAUCACGACUAGUUUUCAUCUUAAGUAGUUAUCUUAGAUGUUUGCUACAUGCAGAAGUUAAAACUAACAUCUGUAAAUCCAGUUCCGAUUAAAGAAAAUGAACAAAGAUCACGUUGUUAGGAGAAACUUUCAUUACAUAUAAAGUUGAAAUGAUGAUCAUAAUAACAGAAGAAAUAUUCUUUUGUAUGGGACAUAAACUCCAUUCCAGACUUAUAAGGUUCAUGUAUCACAAUCUCUCCUUUUAUAUUUAAAUUUUACUGUUUACUAAAUCCUCUGUAUGACCUGGAAACUGCCCUCGCAAUUUGAAAAAAAAAAAAGAACACGAUCCAUAUAGUUCAUUCACUUUUCUCGGCUGUUUCACAUCUGCAAGGAUGAUAUAAGAAAAAUGUAAGGAAGAUAUAUGCAAAUAAGAUGGAAAAAAAAAAUAAAGAGCUUGGUUGGCAACAAACAAGGUCCUAUGGAGAACAUUCACACAAAAGACCUACAGAAUAAAUCCUUCCAUCAAUGGUGGAUAAUCACUAACGCAUUUGCUAAUACUCAAUGGAAUCUACGUGGCCUUCCUCAUACUUAGUCCCUAUUUGGAUGUUGGGAGGUCUUAUCGGUCUGAUAAGAUCCAAUAGGAUCUUCCUGGCAGAUCCUUGAGUUCAAAACUACAUGGAAAAUGAAGUUGUUUAAAGAGUUAGGGGCAGCUGGCAAGACAGCUAAUCCCUAUUUUCUAGGAUAAGGUAAAACACGUUGCCAAUGGAAUUACCUCUCCUAAAAAAUAGGAAUAAGCUAUGUCUAGGAGCCCAAUCAGCUUGAAUCAUUCCCUUUCCACCAUAUUUUCAAAAAAAUAGCCUCAUUAAGAGGAUCAUAUUAGGCCGAUAAUAUCUUCUGAGCACCCAAAGUGACCCUCAAGUGUACAUCAAUAUUCCAGUUAUUUAUAUCUACAGGCCAGCUACAUAUCACAUAGGAUAAAAGAUAUAGACAGCUAAAAAGAGGAGAAAGUAGGCACAAAAAAAGGGUCAAAUCAACAUGCAUCCAAAUGGUGGUGACACAGUUGCAUGGUUCUGCCAUACCAAAUUUCAGAUAUAAAAAUAGUCAAUAUCCCAUUUAUUGAUAUUGUUUUCAAUCCACAUGGUUAUAAACGCUGCAGUGUCCAUCUUCCUAUUAAAUUUCAUGCCAACUAUGAUGCUUCAUAGUAACAUUUUGUUUCGAGAAGUAUUACUAGACUGAAUAGGGUCAAGGGGAAAGGGUCAUGAUCAAGGCUUGUUGUCUCAAUACAAAACCUUGUACCAGUACCAUUCUAUUAUUGUAUUGGUACACCUGGUACAAGGCUGGUUUAGUAUACUGAAACUCAAUAUACCCUCCAUACCAGGUACCAAUUUAGUAUUGGUAUCGGCAUGCUAUGGUAUGGCCGGGAUGCACGAGUACCAACGGGUAUAGAAACCUUGGUCAUGAUACUAACAUGUCUUCCCACAUCUAAUGGGAAAAGAAAAAAUAAUUUGAUUGCUUUAGAUGGAGCUAUUAAAUAUUUUAUGUCAAGCUUGCUUACAUGUACAUGUUUUCUGCCCUUUCUCCUAGUGCUUAUGUGUAACAUUUCAGUACUCUAACUGCUGCUUUGUUUGCUUACACCAAAAACAUUAAUUGCUUCCUUUUAUUUAAUGCAAGCAUGGCUAUAAAAACAUGGAAUUAAUAACUCAAACAUUUAAUGCAUUCCCAGUUUUUUAUUUUCUUGCAUACAUGGGGGCAAACUUUGUUUCAUAAUGUGUAUCUUCAGAAGUUUCUCCAUGGUCCUCAAAUAUUUUCAAGUCUUAAGGUGCAUUUAUUGUUGCUUAAUUGCAACUUUAAAUUUUAAAAAGUGCUUCUAAAAAAAUUGGUAGUAUCUUUUGAGAAGUGCUUACAUGCAGAAGAAUUCAAAAAAAUGCUUUUAGAAGAAGCUAGAAAAACUAACUUCUAGCUUCUCUUGUGAGAUUGCUCUGUCUUCCAAAUAUGGUAAGCCUAUCCUCAAAAUGUAGCUAUAAAAAUGUGAUUACCAAACAUCAAAUAUAUCAGAAAGUAUUUUUUUAGUCAAUAAUUUAACUGAAUCUAAAUGCAUCUAAUUUCUAAAAUUGGUUCUUUCAAAAAGCAAAAGCAAUAAUAGAUAUGCACUUAGUCAUCAAGGAUCCAUCUUGCCUUUAUUUGACUGCAAUAACCUCAGGAACUGUACAUAUAAUGGGUGAAUGAUAUAUUAUGUGAUGACAUAUGACUAUGAGAGAUAGAGAGAGAGCUCAGCUGGAGAUCUUUCUAGAAUCUCAUGAAAUAGGUGUUCAGGUGCUCAAUUUUGAUGUAGUUUCAAUGCAUGAACUAAUACCAUAUCAGAGUUUGCACAUGCUUAACUCAAGUAAUGCACAAGCUUUUCCACAAAGAAAAAGAAAAAUAACUCAAAUCCCACUUUAUCUUGACCUCUAUCUUCUGUGUUGUAAAAUAAAGGGAACUUCAACUAACAUGAUAGCCUAGUUACCUAAUGGAUAGAUAAAAGCUGAUGGAAGUCAACCCUCUCGUUAAUAAACUUAAAGCUCAUAGAAACUAACCCUAUCAUGUGGAGAAGAACCAUGUAAUCGAGAGAGAGAGAGAGAGAGAGAGAGAGAGAGAGAGAGAGAGAGAGAGAGAGAGAGAGAGAGAGAGUAGANNNNNNNNNNNNNNNNNNNNNNNNNNNNNNNNNNNNNNNNNNNNNNNNNNNNNNNNNNNNNNNNNNNNNNNNNNNNNNNNNNNNNNNNNNNNNNNNNNNNNNNNNNNNNNNNNNNNNNNNNNNNNNNNNNNNNNNNNNNNNNNNNNNNNNNNNNNNNNNNNNNNNNNNNNNNNNNNNNNNNNNNNNNNNNNNNNNNNNNNNNNNNNNNNNNNNNNNNNNNNNNNNNNNNNNNNNNNNNNNNNNNNNNNNNNNNNNNNNNNNNNNNNNNNNNNNNNNNNNNNNNNNNNNNNNNNNNNNNNNNNNNNNNNNNNNNNNNNNNNNNNNNNNNNNNNNNNNNNNNNNNNNNNNNNNNNNNNNNNNNNNNNNNNNNNNNNNNNNNNNNNNNNNNNNNNNNNNNNNNNNNNNNNNNNNNNNNNNNNNNNNNNNNNNNNNNNNNNNNNNNNNNNNNNNNNNNNNNNNNNNNNNNNNNNNNNNNNNNNNNNNNNNNNNNNNNNNNNNNNNNNNNNNNNNNNNNNNNNNNNNNNNNNNNNNNNNNNNNNNNNNNNNNNNNNNNNNNNNNNNNNNNNNNNNNNNNNNNNNNNNNNNNNNNNNNNNNNNNNNNNNNNNAGAGAGAGAGAGAGAGAGAGAGAGAGAGUGUGUGUGAUGGUAUCAAACCAUAUCUAAGAAUAUCUUAUGAAAAGGCUCAGACAAGUUUUAGUUUCUUCAUUUUCCUUCUUUUUCUCCACAAAAAUCAAUAAUGAUCUCAAUCUUCUUGCUCCAAACUUGGUCUUUGGCAUAACCAAUAAGCUAAGUUAUUCUAUCACUAAAAUAUAAACUACCAAGUUUACUGGUAUUGCCUCAAGCUCCCAAGUCUGGUACAUAUACUGAUAUCAAUUACCAGACCAUUCCUUAUCACUUAGAAGAAUGGUAUCAAUCUCACAAUCCAAUAAUCAAAUCUUUUCAUCCAUAAAGCUAAUCCAACUUCAACAAGCACAAUCGCAAAUCCCAGUCAAGAGCAAGAGCAAAAUCUUUAUAGACAUAAAAGCGAUUACAGUUUGUCACUCUAACAAUACAAUUCAAAACAGAUGUAAACGCUUAAUCUAAUC
rnacentral:lncRNA from 1 species